rnacentral:rRNA from 1 species
AGUCGAGGGGCAGCGGAGAGGUAGCAAUACCUUUGCCGGCGACCGGCGCACGGGUGAGUAACACGUAUGCAAUCCACCUGUAACAGGGGGAUAACCCGGAGAAAUCCGGACUAAUACCCCAUAAUAUGGGCUCUCCGCAUGGAGGGUUCAUUAAAGAGAGCAAUUUUGGUUACAGACGAGCAUGCGCUCCAUUAGCCAGUUGGCGGGGUAACGGCCCACCAAAGCGACGAUGGAUAGGGGUUCUGAGAGGAAGGUCCCCCACAUUGGAACUGAGACACGGUCCAAACUCCUACGGGAGGCAGCAGUGAGGAAUAUUGGUCAAUGGUCGGCAGACUGAACCAGCCAAGUCGCGUGAGGGAAGACGGCCCUACGGGUUGUAAACCUCUUUUGUCGGAGAGUAAAGUACGCUACGUGUAGCGUAUUGCAAGUAUCCGAAGAAAAAGCAUCGGCUAACUCCGUGCCAGCAGCCGCGGUAAUACGGAGGAUGCGAGCGUUAUCCGGAUUUAUUGGGUUUAAAGGGUGCGUAGGCGGCACGCCAAGUCAGCGGUGAAAUUUUCGGGCUCAACCCGGACUGUGCCGUUGAAACUGGCGAGCUAGAGUGCACAAGAGGCAGGCGGAAUGCGUGGUGUAGCGGUGAAAUGCAUAGAUAUCACGCAGAACCCCGAUUGCGAAGGCAGCCUGCUAGGGUGCGACAGACGCUGAGGCACGAAAGCGUGGGUAUCG